CACAAUAUUUUAGUUAUCAGGAAUAAUACAAUUCACAAACAAGCAGUUUGUGAAAAUUAUAAUAAAAUACAAAAAAUUAAAAAUCAUAAUAAAAGAAACAAAACAAAUCAAAGAUUCAUACUUGCAAUUUUUUUAGGCAUCCUAAAAAUAAAAAUUACAGAACACAUGGGUGGGGAGAAAAUGGAAGAAAAAAAAAUACAAAACAUGGAAAAUUAUACAAAACAAAAAUAUCAGCAUCAAUUUACUGUACUAGUCAAAUCUGCCGUUUAAUACACAUUAAUCCUACUGCCUUCGGACAUUGUAAAAUCUACCAUUCAUCAGAUCAACCCCCAAAUAAACUGAAUUUCAAGUAACCACAGUCACGAGUUGAGAUAUAUUCAAGUGUGGCUUACAAGUUUACCUCCAUUGGAGAAUCUUGUAACCAAUGAAUUUAAAGACAUGAAAUCAAAUACAUCAACUUCUAUUUUCUAACUAUCUAUACUGCAUUUUUUAUUUAUGUCACAAAACAAACCUGUUUUUCCGUAUUUCUUCUUAACCCUUUUAACCACUGCAGGAUUCUAAAACACAAGUUGUGCCACUCCUGUCCAGUGUUGGAAAGAAUUAAUACAAUUACAUAAAAAGAUAAAAAUGACGUGCCACAUCUAAAAUGUACAUUUAUGAUUUUUUUUUUAAUUUAGAUUUUUUUAAAAUUAUUUUUUGACACAAUGCAUGAAAGAGGACAAAGCUAUUAAAAGCAGAAUUGUGUUAACGUUAAAGUAUAUGGAGUCUUAAAAUGAAUCCCUGAAUAAAAGAUAUUGUGAUGGUGCCAGGUGGUAAAAUCUGUGUAAUUAUCCCUGAUUGUGUAAUUAAAGAAUUAUAACACAAACAACAAAAUGCCUCUAAGGUCACGCAUUUCAUCCUACCAAGAACUAUUCAUAGGGAAAAAACUAUUUUCCAAACAGCUAUACAAAGCACUGCAUUUUGGGUUAGUGCAAAUGCCUUUUCUGAAUGCACAUAAAAUAAAAUGAGCUGUGGCUAAUGAGUGUGCCAGAUAGGAGUAAAAAGCACUGUAUUCAAAUCAAACAGGUAUUUGUUGUAUAUACACGUGUGACUACAUAGAGAUAUGUAUAUAGACACACCCACAUUACAUAUUUUUUUUCCAGCACUUGCCUUCUCUCAAGCUUCCUACACACAAAUGCUUUUAUACAUAACAUUUUAUCUAUUGUUUGUCCUGUCGAUCACCCAUAUGCAAAUGCUUUGCAGAUUUUACCUUGUAGCAAGAAGCUCAUUAAUAGCAUAAUAAAAGAGAAAAAGCAGUCAGCUUAAAAAGAACCACGUAUGAUUUAAAAUCACUUGCUGAAUUACUUUGGAGCGUACACAAAAAUGAUAUUAAAAGUCCUAAGAGGAGGAACACACACACACAGUUACAAUACUUCCAAGUUAUCUAAGAUUCAUUUUAGAGUUGACCAUAAUUUUUUCCCUACACAAUUCAGAUACCGAAGAUAGUUUUCACAGCAGGGUUUGCAAACAUGAUGAUAAUCUAAAACCUCUGUUGGCAUGCUACAAAUUGUCCAUGUCUGGGUUACAAGUUUUUGAAUAUAUCUCUUGAAAAUGUUUAUGCCUUUUCAGGUUAGAUCAUGUGAGUAACCUGAUUAAAGAAGUUUCAACUAAAAAAAAUUACCUAAAAGGGUAUUUUGCCUGUUUCUUGAGCACCUGUGUCUUGGAUAAAUAUGGAACAGUGUCACAAUACAAGUUAAUCAUGAAGGAACAGUGAUCAACAGUAAUGUCAUUUUAAAGUGUCAUUAAAAGCAUCCCUGAUUUUGGUCAUCUUGAUUUUUAACAUGAACCGAUUUCCUACAAAAUCUAAUUUAAGUUUGGGGGGGGAUCAUAUAUAUAGAAGUUAGCACCAAUGUUAUAAGGAAAUAUAAAUGUUAGAAAGAAUGAUUAAUACUGAGCAAUGAUGCCUAAAGUUAUUAUGGUACUCAUGAAAGGGAAAAAUAAAACAGCAUAGGAAAGAUGCAAUUACAAGACCCAUACAAAAGUAUCACACGUACAUAGCCAGUGUCAUCAAAAAGGUCCACACACAUUGUUUUUAUUUAACAAAAAUAAAAAUAAAUUAAAAAUAAUAGGUUGAUAAAAUAUCCCACAGACACCUCUGGAAUUUGAUACAAUCCCAAAUGCACAAAACACAUACUAGCACAAGUGACACUUGUAUGAUUCGUUACAUACACAGCUGAUCUAGGCUAACACGUCAUCCACUAAAAAUCAUUUGAAGAGAAUCUAUCACAAAAAUAUAAAGAACCAUAUUUGUUUUUGCACAGCUGUAUAUAAUUACAAGCAACAAUAAUUAUUAUAUAGGUGCCAAUUUAUAUAAAAUACAAUGUUUUUUACUAUACACCAAGGAGCUGGAUACACUUUUGUCAUGUCCCAAUCCUCUACGUGUACCAAGCUUCCAAAAAAAUAAAAUUAAAAUAAGUUUGUGGUAGCAAAAAACAAAACAAAAAAACCCAAUAUUUUGUGAACACUUUUUUUUUUAUUGAUCUGUAGUUGUCAGAACAGCAGCACCUUAUAAUCUCAAAUAUGCAAAUGAUAUAAUCCUCCACUACUUGAAUGUGUCAAUUAGUCUUUUGGAGCAUAAAGGAUUUCACUUUAUACAAUGAUUCCAGAUAUAUAAAUAAGUGAUUGUAUAGAUAUACCAUAGAAUAAAUAUGAAAUUUAGCUUAUAUUUAGCACCAACAACACAAUAAUGCUACAUUUUAGAAUUACAAAAUACUUUGUUUUCAUGAUAGAUUCCCUUUAAGCUGCAGAGACAGAGUCCAUAUCUACUAAUAAUCAUGCCAUAAUUACUUUAAUUACCCACUUUCAACUUUUUAAAAAGGAAUUAAUCUUUGCAACAAUGCUACACUUCUGUUUUCUCAGUCUAGUUAAAAUAAAAAUUACUGAUACAAAAAUGGAAGCUUCCCCUACUGCUAACCAAAAAAGAAAAAACAAACAGAACUAGUUGACCAUAAUUGUGUCAAAUUGCAGACCAUUCAGAAGAUAUGGGAAUAUAUACUUAUGUGUCUCUGUUUGAGGAAUAGCUUUAUAAUCUGGCAUUAAUCUGUUGGCCCAAAUAUGAACUGGCUGUUUUGCAAAUGAAUUUGCAAAUUAGAUAGAUGCAGGCUGUAUAAUUAGAAAAACAAGUAUCUAAUUCCAAUCAAAUAUGGAUUUUACUCUGUGGUGAAUUUAUUGUUUCAGCCGGUUAUAUUAUUUCCCCAAUGUGUCCAUCGUUGUGAAUUCUUCAUGUUUGUUCUUCAACGUCUGCCAUCAUUCAACCAGAUAUGCAGGUUUUUCCUGAAUUUUGUUUGCAGGUCUAUUUCAAACAAAUUAAGCAGCAGGCCCAAAUUUCUAUUGCAUGUAUAUCCUAAAGAGUUCAAUCACAUUCCCUUACAACUGCCAUGUUAAAUUUUAGUCAGUCUCUGUUGUCAGGACAGUCCUCCACUGCUUCACCUCCAGCGACUUUCCUGGGUUUAAAAUUACUUUUUUGUUCUCAAAGAGUUAUUGACUAUAAGCUUCAUAAUUUGUGUUUUAGUACUGCUUUGUCAUAGAAAUCUUCAGGACCAGUUUAAUUUUAAUCUGGUCCCUAAACAUCUUAUGCGAUCAUGGAAUGUCCUGCUUACUAUUUAUUACUGGCAUUAAUAAAGCGCCAACAUAUUCCGCAGUGCUGACUAGUUUAGUUGAUUCUUAUUGAAGGAUUCUAUCCCACAAUAGAAUAUAUGGUUACAACUGCAAAAAUGGUCUUUGGUCCUUAAAAGUUUAAACCAAGUCUCCAGGAACAUUUUGAUGUGAUGAUGUGUGACUCUAAAUCUAUUUUCAAACAUCUUUGUGUCUAUUUUUCUGGGUUAAGUUAGAUCUUUUCUGAUAAGGAAUUUGAUUUGAACUGGAUGUUUGCUUGGCAUACAAAGGCGAACAAAGUCUGGUGGAAUAGCUGCUACAGAUAUUUUCACAAGUUUCAAUCCUUUAGCAGAUCUUUUUCUUGAAAACAAUAUAUAUAUAUGACAUAAC